rnacentral:rRNA from 1 species
GACGAACGCUGGCGGCGUGCUUAACACAUGCAAGUCGAACGGAAAGGCUCUGCUUUUGUGGGGUGCUCGAGUGGCGAACGGGUGAGUAACACGUGAGUAACCUGCCCUUGACUUUGGGAUAACUUCAGGAAACUGGGGCUAAUACCGGAUAGGAGCUCCUGCUGCAUGGUGGGGGUUGGAAAGUUUCGGCGGUUGGGGAUGGACUCGCGGCUUAUCAGCUUGUUGGUGGGGUAGUGGCUUACCAAGGCUUUGACGGGUAGCCGGCCUGAGAGGGUGACCGGCCACCUUGGGACUGAGAUACGGCCCAGACUCCUACGGGAGGCAGCAGUGGGGAAUAUUGCACAAUGGGCGGAAGCCUGAUGCAGCAACGCCGCGUGCGGGAUGACGGCCUUCGGGUUGUAAACCGCUUUCGCCUGUGACGAAGCGUGAGUGACGGUAAUGGGUAAAGAAGCACCGGCUAACUACGUG